GAUGAACGCUGGCGGCGUGCCUAAUACAUGCAAGUCGAGCGAACAGACGAGGAGCUUGCUCCUCUGACGUUAGCGGCGGACGGGUGAGUAACACGUGGAUAACCUACCUAUAAGACUGGGAUAACUUCGGGAAACCGGAGCUAAUACCGGAUAAUAUAUUGAACCGCAUGGUUCAAUAGUGAAAGACGGUUUUGCUGUCACUUAUAGAUGGAUCCGCGCCGCAUUAGCUAGUUGGUAAGGCAACGGCUUACCAAGGCAACGAUGCGUAGCCGACCUGAGAGGGUGAUCGGCCACACUGGAACUGAGACACGGUCCAGACUCCUACGGGAGGCAGCAGUAGGGAAUCUUCCGCAAUGGGCGAAAGCCUGACGGAACAACGCCGCGUGAGUGAUGAAGGUCUUCGGAUCGUAAAACUCUGUUAUUAGGGAAGAACAAAUGUGUAAGUAACUAUGCACGUCUUGACGGUACCUAAUCAGAAAGCCACGGCUAACUACGUG
rnacentral:rRNA from 1 species